rnacentral:rRNA from 1 species
GACGAACGCUGGCGGCGUGCUUAACACAUGCAAGUCGAACGGUGAAGCGCCUUCCUUUUUGGUGGGUGUGGUUGAGUGGCGAACGGGUGAGUAACACGUGAGUAACCUGCCCCCUUCUUCUGGAUAACCGCAUGAAAGUGUGGCUAAUACGGGAUAUUCUGGGUCUGUCGCAUGAUGGGUCUGGGAAAGAUAUUGUUUCGGUGGGGGAUGGGCUCGCGGCCUAUCAGCUUGUUGGUGGGGUGAUGGCCUACCAAGGCGGUGACGGGUAGCCGGCCUGAGAGGGUGGACGGUCACACUGGGACUGAGACACGGCCCAGACUCAUACGGGAGGCAGCAGUGGGGAAUAUUGCACAGUGGGCGCAAGCCUGAUGCAGCGACGCCGCGGGAGGGAUGGAGGCCUGCGGGUUGUGAACCUCUUUCGCCAGUGAAGCAGGCCUGCCUCGUUUGUGGGUGGGUUGACGGUAGCUGGAUAAGAAGCGCCGGCUAACUACGUG